GCGGCACGACGGUACAGGACACCGAACAAAACCGAUGGGAGCAGCUUGCGCAGGCGGACGAGGGAACCCGAGAGCGAUGACGCAGACGGACCAGUACGGAGACGGGCCUGGCGUUGGUCGUGCAGCCGGAAUCUGACGGCAAGCGGCGGCACGACGACCGCGAGCGCUUCCCCCACGUCGACCAGGCCUUCUCCUCCACCGGAGCCCGAGAGAGAGCUGACGGUACCGCCUUCACAUCCACCAGCACUCCAGCAGCCGUGGUUGGGUGUCUGCUUCUCUUUCCCCGCUGCUCACCUCAUCCCCUUCACAUAAGAUUUUGCUCGGCUUUAUUCUCAAAUAAUGCUGAGCUUACCUGGCGACAGGGGAGGGGAUUGGAGGAGGGAGGAGGGCGAAACCAAUCAACCAUCACGACUCCCAGAUCCACUCCACCGCGCCGCGCUUAUCUAUCGCAGUAGAGAAGGAGUGGUACGGCGAUGCGCAAGAGCUCGCUGCAGCACCAGCAGUUCCGCGCCUGCGCCAAGACCCGCGUCGAUGUUCGAGGACCUCCAGGGCAUGGUCUCCGGUCUCCGGCCUCCGGUACGAUCGGAAGGAAGCCCAGUUACAGCGACACCAGCGUCCCCGAGGCCCAGCUCCAGAUGCUCAAUAACUGGUGCGCUGUGCUUAGCUUCUCCUGAUCCGCCUCCUCCCUUCAGGCUUCAGGUUCAAUUCCCUCUCCGUUUCACUUCUUCCCCACGGAAAAAAAAAACUCAAUUAUUCUCGCACGGAGCAGCUACUACCGCUGCCCUGAACACAGCCAAACAAAUGAGAUGUGCAAGGUUCAGUACGGUCAACGUCAGCUAGCUAAUACUCUUCUAAUGUGAUUGAUAACAAAAUCCCUGCCCUUCCUGAAUAAAGGCUUUCACUUCUUUGGCGAGGGUUGCGUAGCAUGAUCUGUUGCAUUCUGACAUCCGAAUUAUUUUCUCUGCAUUGCCAUUGGAUAAAACCUUCGUCCGGUGACUCUGUUUUCAGUUCGCCGCUUCUGCACGCCGAAGUGUGAAGUGCCGCCGAUGAGCUGCAAGGUCAUGUCUGGCAACAGCUGAGCGUGUGACCUCUAAAUGUUUCUUUAUAAUGUUUGUGCAGAUUGAUUAAACCAUGGUAAACCGAUUCCCUUUCUAAGUUAUUAUGCAUAGUACUUUCUUUUUCAACAUACAAAUUAAUAUAUAUUUUUUUUUUGUUUUCAAGUGUGUAGCUGAUAAUUUUGUGCACCUAUGUAUUUGAAGUGUGCAAGGUAAUUUGUGUUGUUUACUUUGAUAAUUUGUAUUCAUAUAUAAGUCGCGGGUAAAAAGCAGGAUACACCACAAAUGUCGUUUUGUCUAUUGUUUGCUAACUGAAUCUUCAUCUUAUCUUCUUAACUGAAAACAUGCUUUUAAAAUCUUAUUGAGGCAGUAUUAACUUCGAGCAUCAUAUGCAUCAAAUCUGUGGUGAUAAUAAAUGAAAAAUACCUGCUAACUAUCAUUCACCCUUUGACCAGACCCUUAUGUACAUUGUGCUUACUUAUCAUGUUCUAUAUUAAUUUUUGAAAGAGCAUGGCUGAGAGAUGGUUUACAUGCAGAUACUAGAAUGCAGAUCUGUGGUUGAGACCACUUUCCAACCAAAUGAUUAGGUUUACUGCUUUCAAACCUCUUCAACUUCCUUUGGAUUGACACUUCUUUUCCUUUUACUAUAGGGAUUGCUAAUGAAGAACUACACAAUGGUGGUUCCACUGGUUUUUUUCUUUACUGUGUCUUAGAUGUGAAAAUUAGGAGACUCAUCAUAUUUCUGAUAUUGCAGCUAUUUAGUUACAUUCAGAUUUGGUUUGUACAUAACUAAGUACUAUGUUCAAAUCAGACUAAAGAACAAAAAAGGUUGUGAUAGGAGUUCACUAAUGACUUGCCAUAUGAUAAGAUACUGCAAAUGAAUGAUUAAUUUAGGUUUCUUUUAUUUUUCUUUUGCUCCUAUCAUAUAUAUAAGUUGUUCUGACUUGUGAGUUUUUCUCUACCGCAGGUAUGGUACUAUAUGUGUGAUAGAGAAAUUUAUAUUAGUUCACAUAUGAAGAAAUGCUCGAUUGGGCCAAUCUCUUUUAUGAUGAAAAUCUGCUAGGUCAUGAUGUAUACGUCCUUAUCUACUAUGGUGUUCUUGAAGAUAAAGUUUGUGAUCCGAGGCUGCAAGCUGGCCAAUUUUCUGGAAAACUGAUCAUUUGAUAUAUUUAGAUACCUUGCCAGGCACAAGUGUUGUGUACAGGAGGUUAAAAUCAAAGGAGACUGCUAUCGAGAAGAGUUUGUAGAUCAGGAAUAUGUCUCUUCUUGAACAAGUGCCUCUCAACAGCGCAGCUUGCAGUUGAAACAUGACAAUCCUUCUGUUUCGCCUCCAAACUUGGCUGCCCCGAGUGCCCUUUGCCAAUAUAUGGCACCACAAUAAACAGGCAGCGGUCUGCUGGAACUGGUAGCUUGGACAGCCAUUGUUCUCCAAUAUCUGGUACUUCACAUAGACCUGCGUACCUGAGCCAUCUCUACCGCAGGAGCAGCAAGGUCGAUGCCUUCUUUCAGAGCACGAAGUUGAGCUUUAUCAUCGUUCAUGCAAUUGGCAAAGGUGCAGCCGAGAAUAUCACACCGCAGUCUGAAUUUGUAGCCACUGCACCGACUCUGGCGAGGCUGGCUUCUCCAGUUGCUACAGAAAAGGAGGAUAAGGAAGAUCUGUAAUACUUGAUCAAGAUGAUGUAACUAUAUACAAGAGAACAUUCCUAUCAGCUAUCACUUCUAAGAGAUUGCGGUCCAUUUUUUUUUUUUUUUUGAAUGAGAAGUUCUAUAGUUUGGUCUAACAU